rnacentral:piRNA from 1 species
UGGCAAUGAUGACCCACUUGCCCUCACUGA